AGCCCUAUAGUCUAGUGGUCAAGGACGUCGGGUUUUGGUCCCGGAAACCGCGGUUCGAAUCCGCGUAGGGCUA
rnacentral:tRNA from 1 species